AUUGAACGCUGGCGGCAGGCCUAACACAUGCAAGUCGAGCGGAUGAAGGGAGCUUGCUCCUGGAUUCAGCGGCGGACGGGUGAGUAAUGCCUAGGAAUCUGCCUGGUAGUGGGGGAUAACGUCCGGAAACGGGCGCUAAUACCGCAUACGUCCUGAGGGAGAAAGUGGGGGAUCUUCGGACCUCACGCUAUCAGAUGAGCCUAGGUCGGAUUAGCUAGUUGGUGGGGUAAAGGCCUACCAAGGCGACGAUCCGUAACUGGUCUGAGAGGAUGAUCAGUCACACUGGAACUGAGACACGGUCCAGACUCCUACGGGAGGCAGCAGUGGGGAAUAUUGGACAAUGGGCGAAAGCCUGAUCCAGCCAUGCCGCGUGUGUGGAGAAGGUCCCCGGAUUGUAAAGCACUUUAAGUUGGGAGGAAGGGCAGUAAGUUAAUACCUUGCUGUUUUGACGUUACCAACAGAAUAAGCACCGGCUAACUUCGUG
rnacentral:rRNA from 1 species